GAUGAACGCUGGCGGCGUGCCUAACACAUGCAAGUCGAACGGAGUCCAGCCUUUAAGACCUUCGGGUCAAAGAGGGGAAGACUGAGUGGCGGACGGGUGAGUAACACGUGGGCAACCUGGCUCAUAGAGGGGGAUAACAGAGAGAAAUUUCUGCUAAUACCGCAUAAGCACACACUGCCGCAUGGCAGAGGGUGAAAAGAGAAUCGCUAUGAGAUGGACCCGCGUCUGAUUAGCCAGUUGGCAGGGUAAGAGCCUACCAAAGCGACGAUCAGUAGCCGAUCUGAGAGGAUGAACGGCCACAUUGGGACUGAGACACGGCCCAAACUCCUACGGGAGGCAGCAGUGGGGGAUAUUGCACAAUGGGGGGAACCCUGAUGCAGCGACGCCGCGUGAGUGAAGAAGUAUUUCGGUAUGUAAAGCUCUAUCGGCAGGGAAGAUAAUGACAGUACCUGAAUAAGAAGCCCCGGCUAACUACGUG
rnacentral:rRNA from 1 species